UUAAAUUGAAGAGUUUGAUCAUGGCUCAGAUUGAACGCUGGCGGCAGGCCUAACACAUGCAAGUCGAACGGUAACAGGAAACAGCUUGCUGUUUCGCUGACGAGUGGCGGACGGGUGAGUAAUGUCUGGGAAACUGCCUGAUGGAGGGGGAUAACUACUGGAAACGGUAGCUAAUACCGCAUAAUGUCGCAAGACCAAAGAGGGGGACCUUCGGGCCUCUUGCCAUCGGAUGUGCCCAGAUGGGAUUAGCUGGUAGGUGGGGUAAAGGCUCACCUAGGCGACGAUCCCUAGCUGGUCUGAGAGGAUGACCAGCCACACUGGAACUGAGACACGGUCCAGACUCCUACGGGAGGCAGCAGUGGGGAAUAUUGCACAAUGGGCGCAAGCCUGAUGCAGCCAUGCCGCGUGUAUGAAGAAGGCCUUCGGGUUGUAAAGUACUUUCAGCGGGGAGGAAGGGAGUAAAGUUAAUACCUUUGCUCAUUGACGUUACCCGCAGAAGAAGCACCGGCUAACUCCGUGCCAGCAGCCGCGGUAAUACGGAGGGUGCAAGCGUUAAUCGGAAUUACUGGGCGUAAAGCGCACGCAGGCGGUUUGUUAAGUCAGAUGUGAAAUCCCCGGGCUCAACCUGGGAACUGCAUCUGAUACUGGCAAGCUUGAGUCUCGUAGAGGGGGGUAGAAUUCCAGGUGUAGCGGUGAAAUGCGUAGAGAUCUGGAGGAAUACCGGUGGCGAAGGCGGCCCCCUGGACGAAGACUGACGCUCAGGUGCGAAAGCGUGGGGAGCAAACAGGAUUAGAUACCCUGGUAGUCCACGCCGUAAACGAUGUCGACUUGGAGGUUGUGCCCUUGAGGCGUGGCUUCCGGAGCUAACGCGUUAAGUCGACCGCCUGGGGAGUACGGCCGCAAGGUUAAAACUCAAAUGAAUUGACGGGGGCCCGCACAAGCGGUGGAGCAUGUGGUUUAAUUCGAUGCAACGCGAAGAACCUUACCUGGUCUUGACAUCCACGGAAGUUUUCAGAGAUGAGAAUGUGCCUUCGGGAACCGUGAGACAGGUGCUGCAUGGCUGUCGUCAGCUCGUGUUGUGAAAUGUUGGGUUAAGUCCCGCAACGAGCGCAACCCUUAUCCUUUGUUGCCAGCGGUCCGGCCGGGAACUCAAAGGAGACUGCCAGUGAUAAACUGGAGGAAGGUGGGGAUGACGUCAAGUCAUCAUGGCCCUUACGACCAGGGCUACACACGUGCUACAAUGGCGCAUACAAAGAGAAGCGACCUCGCGAGAGCAAGCGGACCUCAUAAAGUGCGUCGUAGUCCGGAUUGGAGUCUGCAACUCGACUCCAUGAAGUCGGAAUCGCUAGUAAUCGUGGAUCAGAAUGCCACGGUGAAUACGUUCCCGGGCCUUGUACACACCGCCCGUCACACCAUGGGAGUGGGUUGCAAAAGAAGUAGGUAGCUUAACCUUCGGGAGGGCGCUUACCACUUUGUGAUUCAUGACUGGGGUGAAGUCGUAACAAGGUAACCGUAGGGGAACCUGCGGUUGGAUCACCUCCUUACCUUAAAGAAGC
rnacentral:rRNA from 1 species